ACGGUGGCGCAGUUGGUAGCACUGUUGCCUUACAGCCAUAAGGUCCUGGGUUCAACUCCCAGCAGGGGUC